GACGAACGCUGGCGGCGUGCCUAAUACAUGCAAGUCGAACGCAGUGGGGACGGGUGAGUAACACGUGGGUAACCUCCCAUCAGAGGGGAUAACAAUUGGAAACAGGUGCUAAACCGAUACUGAUGGAUGGAGCCGCGGUGCAUUAGCUAUGUGGUGGGGUAACGGCUCACCAAGGCAACGAUGCGUAGCCGAUUUGAGAGGGUGAUCGGCCACACUGGGACUGAGACACGGCCCAGACUCCUACGGGAGGCAGCAGUAGGGAAUCUGCGGCAAUGGACGAAAGUCUGACCGAGCAACGCCGCGUGAGUGAUGAAGGUUUUCGGAUUGUAAAACUCUGUUGUUAGAGAAGCGGUAUCUAACCAAAAAGCCACGGCUAACUACGUGCCAGCAGCCGCGGUAAUUC
rnacentral:rRNA from 1 species